AUGAUGGUUGCCUUGCAGGCGAGACCCUAUCAAUAAUUGCCUCUGCUUUUCUUACUGAUUUUAUGGAGUAGUACAAUAUCGCUUAUAGGGUCUUGACUCUCAGGGAUG
rnacentral:pre_miRNA from 1 species